ensembl:lncRNA
CGCCCCCGCCGCCGCGCCUCCUCCUCCCCCUCCUGGCCUGGGUGAAACCCGAGCGCCCCACCCCGCGCCCGACCUCCCUGGGCCCCUCCCACUUCCCCAGACGCGCCCCCCUCGGCGCCCAGGGCGUCCCCCUGCACCCCAAGAGCCCCACUCCUGCGUCCCUAGUGCGAGUGCGCCCGAGUAUUGACUUUCAGGGACUCCCUUCCCUCGCCUCCCGGGGACCUUCUGUGGCUCCCCCGCCCCCCGUCCCGCCGCUCAGACGUGGCUGCUGGAGGGGCGGGGGCGCGGUAUAAAGGACCAGAGGCAGCGGGGGCCGGGAUCCGAGACGUGGCGCGCCCACUCUGCCGGCCUCGGCUCCAGCCACAUCACUAAACUGCCACCCCAGAUGAGAGGAGCAAGGAGGGCACCAACAAGAACAUCACCUGGAAGAGAGGAAGAUGGUGCUGGGGGUCAGGAGUGACCUUAAAGGGAGACCUUGACUUCUGUGAUCUUUACAAUGUGAUGAAAUUGUGUUUGGAACACCCGUGAUGAUGUCUACAGGUGAUGCUGUGGUCCUCCCCAAAUUCUGACAGAUGAAGAAUCGCCAAGUCGGGAGAGUUCAGGGAGUCAUCAGCCCCUAACGAAGUCCUUGAGCUUCACCAGAAACUCUUUAGGGUUCUUUCCCCCUCAAGAAACACUCACUCCCCGUUUAGCGUUUAGUAGCAGCUGGCAGAGGUGAGCAGGCCAAUUUUAUUCAAAAAGAGCAGCCCAGAAAGUAAGACAAAAUAAGAAGGAAAUAGUUAUGGCACAUCUGAGAAGAGCGUAAAUGGGCACGGUACCAAGUGCGGCUUCCUGGACCUUAAACGGAAGUUACCCGAUCAACCACGUGGGCACCCACUCUCCAGCCCUCCGCCAGUCUGUGCACUGGACACUCCAUCACGUCCCCUCCUCUGAAUUCUGAGCUUCCACCCAAGUCCAUCCAGGGCUGCCUUGAGCUUCUCGUGUCUUGUCAGAGAAACAUGCUUUGCCAUUGCCAGUUAUUCCAUAGAGGUUGAAACAGAGCGACCUGGCCCUCUCCCAACCCAAGUGAGCUCUGCUCACCUCUGAACUCUUGAACUCACUCCACAGGUGAAAACCACCUUUGCCUACCUCGCAGCCAUGUUCCAUGGCUCCAUGUUCCAGGGAGCAGCUGCUUAAAGUCUACCCACUAGGAGCCACAGCGGGAACUCCAGGAGACAACCAGAGCAUGUAUUCAACAAAAAGUUCUCACUUACUUUUUCUUAGAAAAGUUUAGUAAUUCAUCUCACUUUCAGUAACGGCCUAUUAAUAAAAGACGUUGUAUUUUACUCAAGCUGUGUUCCAGAAGACCAAAAUAUUCUAGAAAUCUAGAAGUAUUUUGCCUUCUCUUUAUGGUUAAAUUUCUAGAUAUAUUUUUCUAGCAACCCAGUUUCCUUAAAAUAAAAUCAGUCUGCUCAAAACACCUCAAGUCAUCUUUUUGUAAGUAUGAUUUGGGGAGAAAAAAUGCUAGGUUUAAAAGAUUUUUGGAAUACCUAGAGAACAUGCAGAUGGUUUGUGGCAUGGAGAUAAAGCAUCCAUAUGGUUCCCUAAG